rnacentral:rRNA from 1 species
UACAGAGGUCUCAAGCGUUGUUCGGAUUCAUUGGGCGUAAAGGGUGUGUAGGUGGCGCCGUAAGUCGGGUGUGAAAUUUCGGAGCUUAACUCCGAAACUGCAUUCGAUAACUGCGGUGCUUGAGGACUGGAGAGGAGACUGGAAUUCAUGGUGUAGCAGUGAAAUGCGUAGAGAUCAAUGAGGAAGACCAGUGGCGAAGGCGGGUCUCUGGGACGGUACUGGACGCUGAGACGCGAAAGCGUGGGGAGCGAACAGG